rnacentral:rRNA from 1 species
UACGAAGGGGGCUAGCGUUGCUCGGAAUCACUGGGCGUAAAGGGCGCGUAGGCGGACUUUCAAGUCGGAGGUGAAAGCCCAGGGCUCAACCCUGGAAUUGCCUUCGAUACUGGGAGUCUUGAGUUCGGAAGAGGUUGGUGGAACUGCGAGUGUAGAGGUGAAAUUCGUAGAUAUUCGCAAGAACACCGGUGGCGAAGGCGGCCAACUGGUCCGAAACUGACGCUGAGGCGCGAAAGCGUGGGGAGCAAACAGG